rnacentral:rRNA from 1 species
ACCGUAAAAGUGAAGAAAUUUUAGUUUUAAUUAUGAAGUUUUGAGGUGAAAAGAAAAGUUUUCUUUUGAGGUAAAAUUGAAAGCAAGUAAUUUUUUCAAAAUUGGAACUUUAAAAAUUUUUGGAUGAGACUAGGAUUAGAUACCCUAUUAUUAUUAAAAAAAAAGAAAUUAGGUAGUAUUGGAAGACUUGAAACUUAAAGAAUUUGGCGGUGUUUUAAUCUCAUCAGAGGAACUUGCGUUAUAAAUCGAAAUUACUCGUUUUAUCUUACUUAAAUUUAGUUUGUAUAUCGUCGUAAAAAUAAAACUUUAAAGUGAAUAUUAAAAAUUAUUUAAUGAAAAAUUACAGAUCAAGGUUCAGCUGUAUUUAAGAAAGCGUGAGUUACAUUGUUUUAGAAACAAAUGAAUAAUUUCUUGAAAAGAAAUUUGAAGGUGGAUUGAAAGUAUGUAGAAAUAAAAAG